CAAAAUUAAACCUUGAACACCGUCUCUCUCAACCUCAACCUAGAACACAUCGACCUCACCAUCAAUGGACUCUGUCGGCCAGCUCCGGUGACGGACGGCAACUGCCGGUGAUUGACGACCAGUUUCGGCUAACAUACGAGCAAUCUCCGAGGUAGGCUAUCGAUUUUCCCCUGUUUGAUGUUUGUAUAACUAUUCAAUUUUCUCUUUCUUUUUUCCCUUAUGUUUUCUUUAAUUUGGCGUUUGGAUUUCUUCUCCUUAAGAAUAGGAGCGCCUUUGGCCUCAGUUGCAUCGUCGUUUUCGACUCCAAUGGCGUUGUUGUUAU
rnacentral:lncRNA from 1 species